rnacentral:rRNA from 1 species
GACGAACGCUGGCGGCGUGCUUAACACAUGCAAGUCGAACGAUGAUGCCCAGCUUGCUGGGCGGAUUAGUGGCGAACGGGUGAGUAACACGUGAGUAACCUGCCCUUGACUUCGGGAUAACUCCGGGAAACCGGGGCUAAUACCGGAUAUGAGCCGUCCUCGCAUGGGGGUGGUUGGAAAGUUUUUCGGUCAGGGAUGGGCUCGCGGCCUAUCAGCUUGUUGGUGGGGUGAUGGCCUACCAAGGCGACGACGGGUAGCCGGCCUGAGAGGGCGACCGGCCACACUGGGACUGAGACACGGCCCAGACUCCUACGGGAGGCAGCGGUGGGGAAUAUUGCACAAUGGGCGAAAGCCUGAUGCAGCGACGCCGCGUGAGGGAUGAAGGCCUUCGGGUUGUAAACCUCUUUCAGCAGGGAAGAAGCGCAAGUGACGGUACCUGCAGAAGAAGCGCCGGCUAACUACGUGCCAGCAGCCGCGGUAAUACGUAGGGCGCAAGCGUUGUCCGGAAUUAUUGGGCGUAAAGAGCUCGUAGGCGGUUUGUCGCGUCUGGUGUGAAAACUCGAGGCUCAACCUCGAGCUUGCAUCGGGUACGGGCAGACUAGAGUGCGGUAGGGGAGACUGGAAUUCCUGGUGUAGCGGUGGAAUGCGCAGAUAUCAGGAGGAACACCGAUGGCGAAGGCAGGUCUCUGGGCCGCAACUGACGCUGAGGAGCGAAAGCAUGGGGAGCGAACAGG